rnacentral:tRNA from 1 species
GAAUAAUUAUCUCAAUUGGUAGAGUAUUUCGUUUACACCGAAAAUGUUAGCGGUUCGAGUCCGUUAUUAUUCA